UAGGUCUGCAGAAGGGUUGCUGAUGAGGGCGGUUGCCGAUGAGAAGACAGCUGUAUAUGGCUAAGUCCAUGGAUGGUGAUGUGUUUAUGCCGAUGGCUAGGGUUAACUGUUGCUGAUUGGGAGUAUGCCGACGACAUGGAAGGAAGAUUUGAAGGUUGCCGAUUGAUCCGUGGUGGUGUCCCAGUUUGUCACGGAAGGAUAGUUUUAUGUUUUUCUUAGUUAUUUGAAUCGUUUUGUACACGGAUUUUGUUU
rnacentral:lncRNA from 1 species